UCCAGGCAGGCAGCCCGAACUGCGGAACGACUUGCGGUGACCGAGCGCAGCUUUCUCCCGUGGUUACUCCUCUGUGAGCCGCCACUGUCCCCGGCAAUCCGGCGGUGCCAGACCGGCAGAUCGUCCGUGUGUCCGUCCGCGUGACAGGACCGGACCCCGCGGGAGCCGCGCGCAGCCGGGGCAGGAAGCGGCGGCCGGAGGACACAGACCAACCCGAAGCGGAGGCGGACCGAGAGCCGGCCAUGUCGGUGGUGGGGCUGGACGUGGGCUCGCAGAGCUGCUACAUCGCGGUGGCCCGGGCCGGGGGCAUCGAGACCAUCGCCAACGAGUUCAGCGACCGGUGCACCCCAUCAGUCAUAUCAUUUGGAUCAAAAAACAGAACAAUUGGAGUUGCAGCCAAAAAUCAGCAAAUCACUCAUGCAAACAAUACAGUGUCUAAUUUCAAGAGGUUUCAUGGCCGAGCAUUCAAUGACCCCUUCAUUCAAAAGGAGAAGGAAAACUUAAGUUAUGAUCUGGUUCCAAUGAAAAAUGGUGGAGUUGGAAUAAAGGUAAUGUACAUGGAUGAGGAACAUCUGUUUAGUGUGGAACAGAUAACAGCCAUGCUGUUGACUAAGUUAAAGGAAACUGCUGAAAACAACCUCAAGAAGCCAGUAACAGAUUGUGUUAUUUCAGUCCCUUCUUUCUUCACAGAUGCUGAGAGGCGAUCUGUCUUAGAUGCUGCACAAAUUGUUGGCUUAAACUGCUUGAGACUCAUGAAUGACAUGACAGCUGUUGCUUUGAAUUAUGGAAUUUAUAAGCAGGAUCUCCCAGGCCUGGAUGAGAAACCUCGAGUAGUGGUUUUUGUUGAUAUGGGACAUUCAGCUUUUCAAGUGUCUGCCUGUGCCUUUAACAAGGGAAAAUUGAAGGUACUGGGAACAGCUUUUGAUCCUUUCUUAGGAGGAAAAAACUUUGAUGCAAAGUUAGUGGAACAUUUUUGUGCAGAAUUUAAAACUAAGUACAAGUUGGACGCAAAAUCCAAAAUUCGAGCACUCCUUCGUCUGUAUCAGGAGUGUGAAAAAUUGAAAAAGCUGAUGAGCUCUAACAGCACGGACCUACCACUGAAUAUCGAGUGCUUUAUGAAUGACAAAGAUGUUUCGGGAAAGAUGAACAGGGCACAGUUUGAAGAACUCUGUGCUGAGCUCCUGCAAAAGAUAGAAGUUCCCCUUUAUUCAUUGCUGGAACAAACUCAGCUCAAAGUAGAAGAUGUGAGUGCUGUGGAGGUAGUUGGAGGCACUACACGAAUCCCAGCCGUGAAAGAAAAAAUUGCCAAAUUCUUUGGAAAAGAUACGAGCACGACGCUCAACGCAGAUGAAGCAGUGGCCAGAGGGUGUGCACUACAGUGUGCAAUCCUUUCCCCAGCAUUUAAAGUUAGAGAAUUUUCCGUCACUGAUGCAGUUCCUUUUCCAAUAUCUCUGGUCUGGAGUCACGAUUCAGAAGAUGCCGAAGGCGUCCAUGAAGUGUUCAGUAGAAACCAUGCUGCUCCUUUCUCCAAAGUGCUCACCUUCUUGAGAAGUGGGCCUUUUGAGCUGGAAGCUUUCUACUCUGAUCCUCAAGGAGUUCCAUAUCCAGAAGCAAAAAUAGGCCGCUUCGUAGUUCAGAAUGUUUCGGCACAGAAGGAUGGAGAAAAAUCUAGAGUGAAAGUCAAAGUGCGAGUCAAUACGCACGGCAUUUUCACCAUAUCUACAGCGUCUAUGGUGGAGAAAAUCCCAGCUGAGGAGAACGAAGUGUCUUCUGUCGAAGCAGACAUGGAGUGUCAGAAUCAGAGGCCAUCAGAAAACCCAGACGCCGAGAAAAAUAUCCAGCAAGACAACAAUGAAGCUGGAACACAGCCCCAGGUACAAACUGGUGGUCGUCAAACCUCACAGUCUCCCCCUUCACCUGAACUUCCCUCAGAAGAAAACAAAACCCCAGAUGCUGACAAAGCUAAUGAAAAGAAAGUUGACCAGCCUCCAGAAGCUAAAAAACCCAAAAUAAAGGUAGUGAAUGUUGAGCUGCCAGUUGAAGCCAACUUGGUCUGGCAGUUAGGGAAGGACCUUCUUAACAUGUACAUAGAAACAGAGGGUAAGAUGAUAAUGCAGGAUAAAUUGGAGAAAGAGAGAAAUGAUGCUAAAAACGCAGUGGAGGAAUAUGUGUACGAGUUCAGGGACAAGCUGUGUGGACCAUAUGAAAAAUUUAUAUGUGAGCAGGAUCAUCAAAAUUUUCUGAGGCUGCUCACAGAGACUGAGAACUGGCUCUAUGAAGAAGGAGAGGACCAGGCUAAGCAGACGUAUGUCGACAAGUUGGAGGAAUUAAUGAAAAUUGGCACUCCAAUUAAAGUCCGGUUUCAAGAAGCUGAAGAACGGCCCAAAGUAUUUGAAGAACUAGGACAGAGGCUGCAGCACUACGCCAAGAUAGCAGCUGACUUCAGGAGCAACGAUGAGAAAUAUAACCAUAUUGAUGAGUCUGAAAUGAAAAAGGUGGAGAAGUCUGUUAAUGAAGUGAUGGAGUGGAUGAAUAACAUCAUGAACGCUCAGGCCAAAAAGAGUCUCGAUCAGGAUCCCGUCGUGCGUGCUCAGGAAAUUAGAGCAAAAAUAAAGGAGUUGAAUAACACUUGUGAACCUGUUGUAACACAACCCAAACCAAAAAUUGAAUCACCCAAACUGGAAAGAACUCCAAAUGGCCCGAGUACUGAUAAAAAGGAAGAGGACUUAGAAGGCAAAAACAAUUUCAGUGCUGAACCUCCACAUCAGAAUGGAGAAUGUUACCCUAACGAGAAGAGUUCCAUCAAUAUGGACUUGGACUAGGUGACAUUAAACUGACUUAGUGCUUCAAUUAAUAAAAUAUUUUUGCCAUGGUAUGUGAUUCUACAUGACAUACUGAGACUAUUUAUAUUUUCUUUUUUAAGGAUGUUUAGAAAUUUUGUGUAUUAUAUGGAAAAAGAAAAAGCUUAAGUCUGUAGUCUUUAUGAUCCUAAAAGGGAAAAUUGCCUUGGUAACUUCAGAUUCCUGUGGAAUUGUGAAUUCAUACUAAGCUUCUGUGCAGUAUUACCAUUUGCAUCACUGAGGAUGAAACUGACUUUUGUCUUUGGAGAAAAUAAAGUGUAUUCAAGAGGGCUGUGGUUAAACUCUUCAAGCAUUGCUCCGCCAAGAUGGCAGAAUGAGGCGAAAGACCAUCUGACCAAGUUAAAAGGUUAAUCAGAACUUCGAUCUGACUCCGAAGCCCGUGUUCUCCCCGUGGUAGUAAAGUGACCACAGCACGCACUUAGCCAGGCGUAGAAGUUGGUCAGCACUGUCGAAACACUUUCAUCCUCACUGAGAACUCGUAAUGGGAGGACUCAAAAUCUGUUCUCUGAAAUUCUCCAUAAAGUUCAAUCAUGGUAGGAUUUGCGGUGUUUUCACCAGGCUGUAUCCAGUUUUCUAACCCCAUGCUUAUACGAAACACCAAAGCUUUUCUUUACCAAAUACAGAUUCUUAAUCCAGUGUUUUCAAACUUGGUCAUGACCACA